GUUAUUAUAUCUUAAAUCCUUUAUAUUUGUUACGUGUUGCCAUGAUGCUACUACCAAACGUAUCACAGUCAUGAGUGCCUGGUUAUAUGGCAUUAGUAAUGACUUAGAUAAGCUUGAUUGUGUUGGAAGAGCAAUGAAGUAGUUAGAGAGUUGUAGGGAAAAAUUAGCAAAGGCCGGUAUUUUGGUUGAAUUAAAAUUUAGUUCUCAAUAAGAGUGAUUUUUAGGAUGAAAUGAAUUACUCUCCUUAUGAAAAAAAGGAUUCAAGUAUUGUACUCCUGAAAGUCUAUAAUUCUGUUCUAAUUAUUUGUUUUAUUUUUUCCUUUAAACAGGUACUCAAACCUCAGUGAUAUAUCGAACCACAUGUUCCCUCCUGUUGCUCAUCAGGAGACACUGGGCGAAUACUCUUCCUUGCAAUACUGGCGGGCACCCUUGCCUGAUGUGUCCACUGAAAUAGAAGCAGUCCUUUCAGAGGAGAGAGGGAAAUAGUGAUCUUGUUGGAACCUUAAACUUUUCAGUGGUGGAAUGAAAAUGUUGCGUCUGCAAUGCACGAGUGAGUAGUGGAGGGACCAGCCUCAGACAUUCCAAGAAGAACGAAGAUCCUAAUUGUACUUUACAUCAAGGAAAGGAAAUUGCUGAUUUACACUUGAAGUAUAUUUGUAAUGGAGCCUGUUGAAGUCUUCUCUGAGGUUACAGAUAUUUUCAGUUCAUGAAGGAUUGCAGUGUUUGAAUGCUGUUAACAUGUACAUUACAUGUGGGCUGCUUACCUCAGGGAUGGUUAUUAAUUUAUUGUGGUUGCUGAAUAAGCCGAUUGAUUUCCACAAAUAUGAUGGUAUGUUCUUUUUUAUAAGGCUGAUAAACAAGGUUAAGUCAGACCUGUGAUUAACUGGGAGUUCGUUUGGGAAACAGGCAAAAAGACAGGACAUUGUACGUCAAUAACAUUUUUUUUUUUUUUUUUUUAAGCAUUAUCAGACUGAUAACCUACCAACACUUUUAAUAAUAUUAAAGUGAAUUUAAUGGGUGAAUACUGUGGAUGGAGGGUUUCAUUUCAAUUAUUAGAAAAUAUUACAAGAAAAAGAUUAACUUGAAAUUAUUAGUUGUGUUAAAAUACAUGAAAGCAAAAUUUGUCAUUCCUAGCAUUUAUAUUGGUGUAAGUGAUUAGCUAUUUAUUAUUCUCCUUGUCAUUUCAAUUUUGCUAUUGGGUACUAUCGAUAGAGACUGAAAAUUAAAAUUGCAGGUGUCAGAUUUUUGGAAAUUGUGUAGAAAAACCAGUGAUUGUAAAAUUAUGCAACUGAAGAGUAAUAUCUACAUGUGACUGGACUUAGAAUGAUAUUCUUUCUUUAUAAUAAGUGAUAUCUGGUGUUGUAGGUUUAAGUUCAGAAAUUUGCAUAUCAGUUUAGUUUUAUGUGUUAUUCAGGGAAAUUAAGUAUAUAUUUAUUUUUUGUACAGUUCUAUGUUUUGUCUGGUCUACAUUCAUUCAUUUCCAUCUCAUUCUUGCAUUAUCAGAAUCUGAAGCCAUUUAUUUGAAUUUAAUUCCCAUAUUUAUUACACGAGCAGCUUUCGUAUUGUCUAGUUACUCUAUCAAGCUGCUUUUCAUCAACACCAUAUAAUACUGUAUGUAUUUAUAUUCCUUUACAUGUUGUAGGGAUUAAAUCAUGUAAUUUGAAGCAUCUCAUCUGAAAGUUUACAGGCUACAUCAGCUGUGAUUCUCAAGGAGUCAGAGGAUGUUCUAAAAGCUUGGGGAGUUGUUGCACAUAUGUGAUAAUAAAAAAAACAAUUAGUGCUGUCAACUGUGAUCUGUUGAAGACAUCCACCAAGGUGCUGUAUAUAACAUGAAGUGUUGAUUAUUUCAAAUUCUGAAUUGGUUUGCAGAUGUUCCAGAAUUCAGAGUAAACAGUGUUGUGUACAAGUGUGUGAGUUUACACAGGCAUGUGGGAUCUGUCGGAAGUUGUAUAUGUUGAUGUGCAGUACUGUGACCUUGCAUCCAUCCGUUGCCUCGGUUCUGUUAACGUAAAACCUUCAUUUCAGGCGUGGAGAUUCCAUUUUCAUUUGAAAGAUGAAUCUGAACUGUUUCAUUAGAUAUUUCUUAAGAACAAUUCACUCUUUGUUUUGAAAUUAGUUCAUGGUUAGGAGAGAGGAUGAUCAGAAGGCACAAUCGUUGUAGGUUGGCAAUAUAUUGGAAUAACUGUUUUGGUUCAAAGAGAAAAGAAGCAUUUAUUCUGACCCACUGGAAGCCAGUGCAAAAUUUCAAAAGAACGAUAAUUUGUAGUCACAAAAAAUUAUCACUCUAGUUAAAAAAAAAAAAAAAAAAAGCAUUAAAGAAAAAAUAAAAGAUUAUACAGAAGAGUAGGUAUUUAAUUCCAAAAUUACCAGUGGAUUCUAAAGAGUAAAAAUGAAAUGAAUGAAAGAAAUGUGUUGUCGGUAUCAGAAUGAGUAAUGUAUGUAGCAUGAAUGGCAAACUUCUCUAAUAGCUUGUGAUUUACUUAAUGGUAUGUGAUACAUCAUAGUGUAGAUUGAGGAUUUAUACACAGUUACCCUUGCCUUCAUUUCAUUGGCUUCUUUACACAUGGAGUAUUUGUGAAAAUGUCUGUUAACUUUUUAAUCACUUUCAUUUUGUAGUCCAGUGUACUGGAAUAUGAUAAAAGGAUACAGUAUGUGUGCUCUCAUUUAUUCUGAAUAUAACAAGUGUCAUAUUUAGUUACUUUUCAAUGAGGAAUUUUUGUUGCAUAUGUUGUGUGCAUCUUUUGUACAAAUCUUUUUGCUUGUAUCAGGCAAAUAUAGGGUUAAGUUUUAUGAUAGUAUCAGAUUGAUUUUUGCAAAUAUAGCUUUUAAGAAUUGUUUUCAGUGAAGUGUAAAUCAGGUUUUGUGAUUAUUUUUUUAUCAUUAUUAUUAUUAUUAUGGGUUUCUUUAUUUCUUUUUUACGAGAUGAUCAAGGGCCACUGAGAUGUCAGCAAGUGGAGUAGGUAGAAUGAUGUAGGUCCUAAAACUGAGUUCAAUUUGACAUGUAAUCUGUUACCACUGUAUCUAUUACAAGUUUUCUCUUUGUAUUUAAAUGGCAUUUAUAUUCAUAGUCUACAAGAUACAGAACAAAAGAAAAUAGAACAAUUUGCAAUAACAUUUGGGGCAUACUGGAUUGUAUUUUCAUUUUCAUCCAUCAUGAUCUUUGGGAAGGAAGCUAAUACUCACAUGGAAGUUAUGUAAAUUCUUCUAAUUUUGCAUUGACAUGUGUACUUUAGUUGAAUAUUUAAGUAUUAUAUUAUUUAUGUGUAGAGAGGGUUUUCCCAAAUCAGUGUUCACCAAUUCCUCAUUCACGUGACCAAAAUGUUAGCAGUAUUAUGCUUUAGAUGUGCUUUUUCAGUACUGGCUUCAUAAUUAGAAGUGGUGCAAGUCAUAUUGGCUAGAUAAGUUUUUUUUUUUAUAAGGAAAAUAACUUCACCUAGUUGGAAAAUCUCUGUAUGAAGGAUCUCUAUCCAUUCGGACUCUAGAGUAUAUGUUGCUUGGAAAAUUAACUACAUGUCCCUUAAGAAAUUGAGCCAGAUGUAUAGCAUUUACAAAUGGAAUGAAACAUCUAUUUUGUUUGAAUUGGUCAUUAGGAAUAGUAAAGCAAAAAUAUGAAUUUUCUUGUAGCACAUCUUGUUAGAUGAAAAAAAAUAAUAAUUAAGAUAGGCCAAGUUGUAAAGUGGCGAGCUGUAAUUUGCCACCUUUUUAUUGUCAUUGGCUCAAUUCACUGCAUUUUUUGCUAGGCGUUUAGCACUGCUCCAGUUCUGCAUUUCCAUGAAAUUCUUUAGAGAUCACAUAUUCCUACUACACUGAAUGUGUUCCUCUAGUUACAUUGCUGACAGUUUGACCGAAGACGGUCUUUGUCUUACAUGCUUAUUUUAUUUGCUGUCUUGUGAUAUGCUCAUGUCAAUAAAUUAUAAACAGGAAUGA